rnacentral:rRNA from 1 species
GACGAACGCUGGCGGCGUGCUUAACACAUGCAAGUCGAGCGGUAAGGCCCUUUCGGGGUACACGAGCGGCGAACGGGUGAGUAACACGUGGGUGACCUGCCUUUAGCUCUGGGAUAAGCCUGGGAAACUGGGUCUAAUACCGGAUAUGACCCUAUGGCGCAUGUUGUGGGGUGGAAAGCCUUGUGCGGCUAGGGAUGGGCCCGCGGCCUAUCAGCUUGUUGGUGGGGUGAUGGCCUACCAAGGCGACGACGGGUAGCCGGCCGUGAGAGGGCGACCGGCCACACUGGGACUGAGACACGGCCCAGACUCCUACGGGAGGCAGCAGUGGGGAAUCUUGCGCAAUGGGCGAAAGCCUGACGCAGCGACGCCGCGUGAGGGAUGACGGCC